UUCUACAAAUACACUCCAUCCAGCCGAAGACUUUUCCCGCUCCUCUCAAUUUUUUUCCUUUCUUCCUUCUGCGCGUUUCUUCGCUUCGCUUCGUUCUAUUCUUUUUUUUUCUUUCUUUCUUUUUUCCUUUUCUCUUUCUUCUUCUUCGUUGGGCCGCCGCCUUCUCCCGGAAACAAAGUCCGCCGCCCUCAGCUGGAACAUCGGUUCUGCACCUCCUUCCGCCGGUGGUCUUCGUCGCCAGCAUUUCAUGAUUCAUUGGCUGAAGUGGAAGCCGAUUUUGGAAAUUUGUAGUGACAAAAAAUAAAAUAAAAAAAUAGAAAAGAAAAUUGAAAAGUGAUUUUGUGGCAGGACCUAGUAGGAGAAUAGAAUUUGUAGGCAGGGUUUUAGGGAUUGGUAGGUUAGGGAUUUAAACAGUAGAAGUACAGUAGAAUUAUGUGGAAAUCCCACAAAUGAACACACCCUAAGGGUAUUAUGUUUAUUUAGCAA